ensembl:lncRNA
AGUUCUAAGGUCAAAACGGUUAAACGGUUAAACUGCAGUCACAUGAUGCUGCAGGUCCGUGGGUCACUUGAUGUUCUCUGACCGUCUUCAUCACACAUCUGCGUGUCUCAUCGCGAAUAAACGUACUUCAUGCUUCAGGAAAGGAAAACUUUGCACUGUGUUUACGCAGGUAAAACUCUGCAGCUUACACUCACCAGACACACCUGUUCUCACCUGCGUGAGUCACUCUGCUUCACUAACAGUCAUUAACCAGUGAUCAAAGGGCAAUGACGGGUCAGCUCACUGCUGUCUGGCUGUUUUGUUAAAUUGCAUAAAUCUUUAUUAAUAAACGCUGUGAGACAGGUGUGACGUUGGGCUGGUUUCAGGUGGUUUGAAGGCUUAGCUGUGCUCUGACGAUUGGUUCAGAGCAGAGAUCACCGCACCAACACUGAUUUAAAACCACGUCAAAGUCAAACUGUAUCGUCCGCGUGCCACGCUUACAGGACCCAGUCUGGACGUAACCCCGUCACACACCUGAAGCAGGAAUAAAGCGAAAGCUGUGAAGCGCCGCGUGGACGUCCAGCAUCAUUCAGAUAAAAGCCAUAAAUGACAGAGGCUGUGAGCGCGUGUCCUGCUGAUGUGGAGAAAACCGAUGAUUUCAGCCUGAACCAGACAGAGAAACGAGAGAGCUGCGCAGUCUUCCUCCACCACACGAAUC